rnacentral:misc_RNA from 1 species
GAUGAAGAACGUAGCGAAAUGCGAUAAGUAAUGUGAAUUGCAGAAUUCAGUGAAUCAUCGAAUCUUUGAACGCACCUUGCGCCCUUUGGCCAUUCCGAAGGGCAUGCCUGUUUGAGUAUCAUGAACACCUCAACUCUUUAUGGUUUUCCAUGAUGAGCUUGGACUCUGGGGGUUUUGCUGGCUCACAGUCGGCUCCUCUAAAAUGAAUCAGCUUACCAGUGUUUGGUGGGUAUCAUGGGUGUGAUAACUAUCUACGCUUGUGGUUUUUCCACCAGGUAACCUUCAGCAGUGGAGGUUCGCCGGAGCUCAUAGAUGUCUCUCCUCAGUGAGGACAGCCCUUUGAAUGUUUGAUCUCAAAUCAGGUAGGACUACCCGCUGAACUUAAGCAUAUCAAUAAGCGGAGGA